rnacentral:rRNA from 1 species
UGGGGAAUAUUGCACAAUGGGGGAAACCCUGAUGCAGCGACGCCGCGUGAGCGAAGAAGGUUUUCGAAUCGUAAAGCUCUGUCCUAUGGGAAGAUAAUGACGGUACCAUAGGAGGAAGCCCCGGCUAACUACGUGCCAGCAGCCGCGGUAAUACGUAGGGGGCAAGCGUGGUCCGGAAUCACUGGGCGUAAAGGGUUCGCAGGCGGAAAUGCAAGUCAGUUGUGAAAGGCAGAGGCUCAACCUCUGUAAGCAAUUGAAACUGUAUUUCUUGAGAUGUGGAGAGGCAAGUGGAAUUCCUAGUGUAGCGGUGAAAUGCGUAGAUAUUAGGAAGAAUACCGGUGGCGAAGGCGACUUGCUGGACACAAACUGACGCUGAGGAACGAAAGCGUGGGUAGCAAACAGG